GCUUCUGCUUUCCGUUGCUAUUUCUCACACUAUUUAUAGGUGCAAGGAAGACUCUGAUGGAGGGGAAAGCAGAGGUAGUAACAAUGAAGCCAAAUACUGAUGAGCUUCUUUCUAAACAAAUAAUGAAGCAGGAUGCAGCAGCAACAGAAAAAGAAGAAAUUCAAAUGCGAUGUGACGACGUAAUGAAGCCAAAUAAUGAUAAACUUCUCUCUAAACAAAGAAUGAAGCAGGAAGCAGUAGCAACAGAAAAAGAAGGAAUUCAAAUGCAAUGCGACGACACAAUUACAGAUCAAGAGAUGAAUAAAAUUGAACUAAUGAGGGCUCUUGUUGAAAAACAAGAUCCUUCUUCCAAGGAAAUAGACGACUAUGCCUUGAGAAGGUUUCUUCGAGCUCGUGAUCUAGACAUAGAGAAAUCUGCAGCAAUGUUCUUGAAAUACCUUAAGUGGAGACAAAGUUUUGUACCAAAAGGGUCCAUUUUGGUGAGUGAGAUACCAAACGAGAUUGCACAGAACAAGAUGUUCAUGCAAGGUGUAGACAAACAGGGUUGUCCUAUUGCUGUAGUUUUUGGUGGCAGGCAUAUUCAAAACAAAUUAGGAGGUGUUGAAGAGUUCAAACGUUUUAUAGUCUUUGCUCUGGACAAAUUGUGUGCAAGGACCUCACCAGGAAGAGAGAAGUUCACAAUAAUCGGAGAUCUCCAAAAUUUUGGCUAUUGUAACAGUGAUGUUCGUGCCUAUCUUGCGGCCCUAUCCAUCGUGCAGGAUUGCUACCCGGAAAGACUAGGCAAAGUACUUCUUGUUCAUGUUCCUUACAUAUUUUGCACAUUAUGGAAGAUUUUGUAUCCUUUCAUAGACAACCACACCAAGAAAAAGAUCAUGUUUGUGGAAAACAAACGGCUGACAGCAACCUUACUUCAAGAUAUUGAUGAAAGCCAGCUUCCGGAGACUUACGGAGGCAAAAUGCAAUUAGUUCCUAUACAGGACGCCUAGGCAAGUAAUUGCCCUACAAGCUUCAACUGUAUCAAGUUGACAGUGCUUUAUUUUUAAUAGCUUUGAGGAAAAACAUUAAAUAGCAAAUAUACAUCUAUAUCCAUUACUAAACAUUCAGCUUUUACAUGGAGUAGAAAAUAAAUGACAUAUUUU
rnacentral:misc_RNA from 1 species